rnacentral:rRNA from 1 species
CAGUCGCCACGGGAAUACGUAGGUGGCAAGCGUUGUCCGGAAUUAUUGGGCGUAAAGGGCUCGCAGGCGGUUUCUUAAGUCUGAUGUGAAAGCCCCCGGCUCAACCGGGGAGGGUCAUUGGAAACCGGGAAACUUGAGUGCAGAAGAGGAGAGUGGAAUUCCACGUGUAGCGGUGAAAUGCGUUGAGAUCGGAAAGAACACCAACGGCGAAAGCACUCUGCUGGGCCGACACUGACACUGAGAGACGAAAGCUAGGGGAGCAAAUGGGAUUAGAUACCCCGGUAGUCCCUGUCUCUUAUAC